CUAGAAACAACCAAGGUACCCUCUGCAGGACUGCAUUAAGUGGGAAACCGAGGGUGGGUCUUCAGAAGCCUAAGCCAGACCAUAGUUUUGUUACCUAAUUCAAUCAUGAACGCAAAAUGAUAAGGCCAACUAAAUUGCUUCCCAACCCUACCAACCAUAGGGCCAGAAAAGAAAAAAAUGGCCUGCAAUUUUGUAGGGACCCAUUGUUUGGUAGGUCAGCUGCAGUUGUUUUGGUAG
rnacentral:lncRNA from 1 species